CAUUCAUGACAUUCCUAGGUACUUACAGGUUUAACAAUAUGUUGAAUGAUUUAACAGUUAUUUUUCAAGCUAUGGCAACCGCAUUCUCGUAUCAGGGUUAUGUAGUCGCUAUGAAACAGGUUGGCAAGUUAGUGACACUUAUACUGUAGGUACCCAUAUCGAAGUAAGCUUGUAGUGAGUAACUUGUACAAUGUUCUGAUAUAUGUUAACUAGUUAAAGCAUAAUAAAGAUUAAUAAUUACGUUAGCUCCGGUUAGGUCACUG